GUAGUUGUGGCCGAGUGGUUAAGGCAAUAGACUUGCAAUCCAUUGGAGUAUUGCUGCACAGGUUCAAGUCCUGUCUGCUACU